UCUCCACCCACCUCCUG
rnacentral:miRNA from 1 species